GCCAGCAUCCUUGGUCCAAGGAACAAAGAUAAUACUUACGAGUGAUUGUCAACUUCACAAAUCAUCAUGCCAACCACUCUUACUUCAAUUAUUGUUCCAAUCGACAUAUGGUCCAUGGACUCUACUACGAACGUAACCAUUUAUCAGCUCAGUCAAAGCAAUUUGAUCUCUGUCAGGAAAUUCAUCAAACACGCCGUGAGCAAAUCCUACGGACCCACAAGCAGUAUAAGCGUGGAUCAACGAGUUCAGCACUAGAGACUGCGGAAGAACAUCCAUUACCAAACCAAUAGCUUUGAGAUCGGGACAUGCCUUGAGAACAAGGGAGAGGGUGACACCGUUGGGUUUGGCAUCGCACCAUAACAGCUGCUUGCAAAGCGCUAAUAAGACCGUGCCUGGGGAAUUCGCUCGGGAAUGGGUUCUUAGAAGCUUAUUACACAUCUGGAGGAGGACAGCGCUCGGCGCAUGUCGGUUCUGGGAGAUCCCCUUGGUGAUUACAAGGGCAUGAAUUUUUCUGAGAUGAGCCACUUGGGUGCAGGCUUCGAGCAAGGGACAGACAUCGGGCCAGUGACUUGGACAUUGGCAUCACCAUAAGCUGGCGAUCAGGAUUCGAGCUAUAUACUGGUAAGAUCACGUACAUCAACUCUCUUCAGAUCAUACAUUUCGUCGGAGGAGGUAACGGAAGCCGAAGGGAAGGCAGCCAUGAAGAUGGAGUUCAUGACGCCCCGGUGAUUCUUCCCUGCGAGGCCGCGGUCCAUGACUGCAAGAGUCCAAGGUAUCAUCGCCAUGCCUCUCUCUCUCUCUCUGUUCUGCGUUCUGACGGGGAAUGCAAUGGGAAGCGGGUUGCCACCGUUCAUGGCCCCAAAAGCUGGUGGUCAUCCAUCGACGAAGACGAUGAUGGAGCCGCCACAGAAUGCAGAAAUAAAAAAAUCAAUGUGCGAUAAAAGCUCGAUGAUGGUCAAUGUGGCGUAUAAAACAUACUGUCCAGUUGCGGUGCGACUCCACAAUGUCGCGACGAGUGGACUCGGACUGCCACAACAACACACUCCGAGUUGAACCGGUACUAAGAGCCACAAAACCGCCCGCCAAAAGCAACAAACCGCGAGGGCUCGCCAUCGAUUUCUACCAGACUACCGCGACGGGUUUCUCCCAUCCCCCCCUUCCCCUUUCCCUCCUCCUAUCUCUGGCGUCUCGAUCUCAGCCGCCUCAUCCGCCUCCGGUACCCCUCGUUGUCCUCCUCAUCCGGCGGCUCCCCUCCUCUCGCCUGCUGCGGCGGGAUCGGCCGAAGCGAGUUCUCGACCGGUGUGCUGUCGUGGGAACCUCAGAUAUUGAUCUCCUCCGUCGUCGAAUGGGCUUCUCAGGUGUAUCAAUUUCAUAUCAUGAUUUAUCGAUCUCCUCCAUCGUGCUAUUCUGCUUCGAGAUGUGCAAAAACAUUUUGAUUGGCGUAUUCGAGAUCUGUGCACGUCAUAUCCUUUGGUCCCUCAGACAAUCCUACAAGAAAGAAAUCACGGCAAAUGUGCAGAAUAAUACGAGAUUCAUGAUUCACAAACAUGCGGCCUCAGAAAUCCUUUGAUCGAUCCGAGAAACAUUCGAAUAGAGAGUUAGAUUUGGGUGCAGACACAUCAAAUCAGGCAGGUUCAGAUUCGAACAUCUACUCAUUACAGAUAUCGAUAUCUAUUUUUGACUCGUCUGAAUCGAAACCAGAUAUAUUUUGAUGGGAUUUGAGACCGAUUGUGAUUCAACUUUCCGUUGGAUUUGACGAACUGAUCAACUUUGGCUACCUUUCAUCAGUUCACUUCAGAUAGUACAGACUGGCGAUCCGUUCAACAUCAGAGGCAUGAAUGGGGCCCGUACGUAGACCAAUUCCAACCAUGACAACUCCAAACACCGAGUGGGUUGCCUCUGCAUCAACUCUCACCCACCGUCCUGUAUGAUGGGUUCACUGAUCCACUCCAUCGGUCCCGUUCUUUCACAGAGAUGUCCAUGUCACUCAUCUUCCAUCAAUAUCAAACAAGAACCCUAUCCAGGUAUGCGACCUUUCUCUACAUUCUUACAUUUAAAAGUUAAUACUUGUUAAUAUUUGAAUCGACUACUAGAGCAUCAGAACGAAGCAUAUCGGGAAUGAAUUGUUUUUCAGGUCAAUUGUAUUUUUAAUCUGUUAACAUGUCACUUUUUUUUUCCAUCUUAUUCGUAAAGAUAAAAGUCAAGACUACAGUUAGUUUGAUUUUAUCACUUAGCGUUAGCAAACUUGAUACCAUGUGGAGGAUAUAAUUAGAUAAGUAUGAAUAAAAUAAAUAUAUAUCAUUAAAUAUUUUAAUCAUCAAUCAUAUCAUAAAUUUUCAUCUCACAAGUAAAUAUCUUCCGCACCUUCUACAUAACACUUUUCUACACCAGGGAAAAAAAAAGUGGUAUCUCUUUAUAUUUGUGGUUGGGGAGUUAGCAC